UUUCUGAUUUGACGAGGGUGUUCUG
rnacentral:piRNA from 1 species